rnacentral:rRNA from 1 species
AGGGAAUCUUCCACAAUGGACGCAAGUCUGAUGGAGCAACGCCGCGUGAGUGAAGAAGGUUUUCGGACCGUAAAGCUCUGUUGUUGGUGAAGAAGGAUAGAGGUAGUAACUGGCCUUUAUUUGACGGUAAUCAACCAGAAAGUCACGGCUAACUACGUGCCAGCAGCCGCGGUAAUACGUAGGUGGCAAGCGUUGUCCGGAUUUAUUGGGCGUAAAGCGAGCGCAGGCGGAAGAAUAAGUCUAUGUGAAAGCCCUCGGCUUAACCGAGGAAUUGCAUCGGAAACUGUUUUCUUGAGUGCAGAAGAGGAGAGUAGAACUCCAUGUGUAGCGGUGGAAUGCGUAGAUAUAUGGAAGAAUACCAGUGGCGAAGGCGGCUCUCUGGUCUGCAACUGACGCUGAGGCUCGAAAGCAUGGGUAGCGAACAGGAUUAGAUACCCUGGUAGUCCAUGCCGUAAACGAUGAGUGCUAAGUGUUGGGAG